GACGAACGCUGGCGGCGUGCCUAAUACAUGCAAGUAGAACGCUGAAGGAGGAGCUUGCUCUUCUGGAUGAGUUGCGAACGGGUGAGUAACGCGUAGGUAACCUGCCUGGUAGCGGGGGUUAACUAUUGGAAACGAUAGCUAAUACCGCAUAACAGUAGAUGUUGCAUGACAUUUGCUUAAAAGGUGCAAUUGCAUCACUACCAGAUGGACCUGCGUUGUAUUAGCUAGUUGGUGGGGUAACGGCUCACCAAGGCGACGAUACAUAGCCGACCUGAGAGGGUGAUCGGCCACACUGGGACUGAGGCACGGCCCAGACUCCUACGGGAGGCAGCAGUAGGGAAUCUUCGGCAAUGGACGGAAGUCUGACCGAGCAACGCCGCGUGAGUGAAGAAGGUUUUCGGAUCGUAAAGCUCUGUUGUAAGAGAAGAACGAGUGUGAGAGUGGAAAGUUCACACUGUGACGGUAUCUUACCAGAAAGGGACGGCUAACUACGUGCCAGCCGCCGCGGUAA
rnacentral:rRNA from 1 species